rnacentral:tRNA from 1 species
GCGGAUAUGGUGGAAUUGGCAGACACGCAAGAUUUAGGUUCUUGUAUCGCAAGGUGUGCAGGUUCAAGUCCUGUUAUCCGCACCA